rnacentral:rRNA from 1 species
AGUGAACGCUGGCGGUAGGCCUAACACAUGCAAGUCGAACGGCAGCACAGUAAGAGCUUGCUCUUACGGGUGGCGAGUGGCGGACGGGUGAGGAAUACAUCGGAAUCUACUUUUUCGUGGGGGAUAACGUAGGGAAACUUACGCUAAUACCGCAUACGACCUACGGGUGAAAGCAGGGGAUCUUCGGACCUUGCGCGAUUGAAUGAGCCGAUGUCGGAUUAGUUAGUUGGCGGGGUAAAGGCCAACCAAGGCGACGGUCCGUAGCUGGUCUGAGAGGAUGAUCAGCCACACUGGAACUGAGACACGGUCCAGACUCCUACGGGAGGCAGCAGUGGGGAAUAUUGGACAAUGGGCGCAAGCCUGAUCCAGCCAUACCGCGUGGGUGAAGAAGGCCUUCGGGUUUUAAAGCCCUUUUGUUGGGAAAGAAAAGCAGCAGGUUAAUACCCCGCUGUUCUGACGGUACCCAAAGAAUAAGCACCGGCUAACUUCGUG